UGGGGAAUAUUGCGCAAUGGGGGGAACCCUGACGCAGCCAUGCCGCGUGAAUGAAGAAGGCCUUCGGGUUGUAAAGUUCUUUCGGUGAUGAGGAAGGGGUAUUAUUGAAUAGAUAAUAUCAUUGACGUUAAUUACAGAAGAAGCACCGGCUAACUCCGUGCCAGCAGCCGCGGUAAUACGGAGGGUGCGAGCGUUAAUCGGAAUAACUGGGCGUAAAGGGCACGCAGGCGGACUUUUAAGUGAGAUGUGAAAUCCCCGAGCUUAACUUGGGAACUGCAUUUCAGACUGGGAGUCUAGAGUACUUUAGGGAGGGGUAGAAUUCCACGUGUAGCGGUGAAAUGCGUAGAGAUGUGGAGGAAUACCGAAGGCGAAGGCAGCCCCUUGGGAAUGUACUGACGCUCAUGUGCGAAAGCGUGGGGAGCAAACAG
rnacentral:rRNA from 1 species